GACGAACGCUGGCGGCGUGCUUAACACAUGCAAGUCGAACGGAAAGGCCCUGCUUUUGUGGGGUGCUCGAGUGGCGAACGGGUGAGUAACACGUGAGUAACCUGCCCUUGACUUUGGGAUAACUUCAGGAAACUGGGGCUAAUACCGGAUAGGAGCUCCUGCUGCAUGGUGGGGGUUGGAAAGUUUCGGCGGUUGGGGAUGGACUCGCGGCUUAUCAGCUUGUUGGUGGGGUAGUUGCUUACCAAGGCUUUGACGGGUAGCCGGCCUGAGAGGGUGACCGGCCACAUUGGGACUGAGAUACGGCCCAGACUCGUACGGGAGGCAGCAGUGGGGAAUAUUGCACAAUGGGCGGAAGCCUGAUGCAGCAACGCCGCGUGCGGGAUGACGGCCUUCGGGUUGUAAACCGCUUUCGCCUGUGACGAAGCGUGAGUGACGGUAAUGGGUAAAGAAGCACCGGCUAACUACGUG
rnacentral:rRNA from 1 species